AGUGUCCUACGGGGCGCAGCAGUGAGGAAUAUUGGUCAAUGGUCGGGAGACUGAACCAGCCAAGCUGCGUGAGGGAGGAAGGUACAGAGUAUCGUAAACCUCUUUUGUCAGGGAACAAAGACUGGGACGCGUCCCCGGAUGAGUGUACCUGAAGAAAAAGCAUCGGCUAACUCCGUGCCAGCAGCCGCGGUAAUACGGAGGAUGCGAGCGUUAUCCGGAUUUAUUGGGUUUAAAGGGUGCGCAGGCGGUCUGUUAAGUCAGCGGUCAAAGCCCGGGGCUCAACCCCGGCCCGCCGUUGAAACUGG
rnacentral:rRNA from 1 species